AUCGGCCUCCUAACCUAGAGUCCUGCUCCUCCAAGAAUCAACUGGAUGGGUUUCAUGGUGUCUGUGGGGAUUCAUUGGUUUAAGGUUAAAAACUAAUUGGAAAGACUCCCAAAAGACUAUCCACCUUUUAAAAAGGUGAGGCCUACAUUGUGGAUGGCUCUGGAAGUCACUUGUGUCAUGUGGACCAUAUUCCUUCACAGCCCACACUCACUCCUGCCACCACCUGUCCCCCAGGGCGAGGUUAGUACUGUUAGGAGCCUUCAGAAUGUAUUGAGCUUGCAGAGCCUUGGUACCAGGGAUUAGACUGAUGUCAAUAAAGUUAUGUAUCUAGGAAAUGAUAAACCGAGCCCUCAGAGACAGGAGCUCAGGGAAAGGAGAGAAAGAAGCUCAGGGAAAGGAAUUUUUUGUCUAAUGAAAAGUUUUGUAACAUUCAUUAUCCACAAACAGAUCUUAAUGGAUUUUUACUCUUUGACCUCAAACUUAAAUUCCUGCCUCAGUUUCUUGAGUGUUAGAAUUAUAGGUGUGUACUAUCAUGCCAGACUGAGGUAUUUUGUUCUCAGAGUAUCAUUUAUUGGUUGGUUGCAUAAGAUCUGAUCAAUUGUUGAGACAUAGUCUUUUGGGAGUUUAGGGUUUUUGUUUGUUUGGAUUUUUUUUUUUUUUUGGUUCUUUUUUUUCGGAGCUGGGGACCGAACCCAGGGCCUUGCGCUUCCUAGGCAAGCGCUCUACCACUGAGCUAAAUCCCCAGCCCCUGUUUGGAUUUUUUGAGACAGGGUUUCUCUGUGUAUCCCUUGCUGCCCUGGAAUUUGCUCUGUAGUAGACCAGGCUGGCUUUGAACUCCAGGAUCCACCUGCCUCUGACUCCUGAGUGCUGGGAUUAAAGGUGUGCACUUCCACAUCCUGCAAGAUACAGUUUUUCCUGGUGUUAAUUAUGAAUUAUUCAUGUUACUAAGACAGGAAUGAUUGUAAGAAGGAAGCAGCAUUUUGUGGUUGUUGGUGUAUUAAGUAGUUGACAUUGCCUCAGGCUAGUAUCAGUCGUUUAGUUGGUACUGUUCUAGCACGAGCAACCAGGGCUCUCUACAGACCAGGAUUCUGUUCACUCGCCAGAGGAACUCACACACACACCUCACCCCACUUUAGUAAAACAGGAUGAUGUUGGUCACUGCCUAUAAAGUCAGUCUAUGGAUGCAUCUUCCAGGAGUGAUGGUAUAUACCAGUCAGGCCCAGCAUUAGCAAGCAUGAUAGUCCGUAUCUGUAAAUCCCAGCAUUAGCAAAGCUGAGGCUAGAGGGAUUGGAGUUUAAAGUAAGCCUAGGCUACAUAGGUCCUGUCUCAAAAAACAAAACAAAACAAAAAAUAGUCUGAGCAUGGUGCUUCAUGCCCAUAAUCCUGGCAUUUGUGAUCUGAAAGCAGGAAGUUCAGGAGUUCAGAGCUAACCUAGGCUCCAAGAAGCUGGCUCAGGGCAUUCCACCUGGAGGCUGAGGCAGAAUUGCUGAGUUCAAAGCCAGCCUGGGUUACUUAGAAAUAGGCCAGCCUUAGCUCUGUACACUGAGUCAAGUUGACAAGGGUGGAAGAGAGAUUCUGGGAAAACAGAGCUCAGGUGGCCAUGAGUGGGAGAGAAAAGUCAGGGUCACAGGAUAAAAUGCUGCAGCUGUUUUAGUUUUUGUUUGGGAUAGGGUCUCAGUGUUCAACACAGGCUGGCCUGGAAAUCAAAGCAAUUCUACCUCAGCCUCCUGAGUGCUGGGAUUCUAGGCAGGAGCCAUCAAGACCUGGUGACUAAAUUUUGGCUGCAUCAUAGUCCAGUGUCCUGCUGUGACAGACUAGCCAGGGCUGGGCAGUCUGAGGACAGGUGAGCAUGCGGGCGUGGAGGCGGAGACGUCAACAUCAGCAUUAGCAGCAGGAUGAGGAAUUCUGAAAUCAGUGUAGCAAAACUGGCUUUCUGUUGUUGGAGGGGGGAACUGGACUGCCUGCCUCCUUUGCCCACACUCAGGUAAUGACUGUUUCUCUUGGUCCUCAUUAGAGACACCAGAUUCUUGAGGACUCCUUGCAAGUUUACAUGGCUUUGCUUCUCUAUGAGAAUAAAUACCUGUGUUCUGUUGCCUGGCUGUUAAGGUGUCUUCUAUAAAGGACCCUGGGGCAUGAAAUUAACCCAAGAAACUUACGCUGAGGCACUUACACCGCUUUUCUUGUCCUUAGCUGAGAUAGAACUUUCCCAGAACAACUUGAAACCCCGUGUGAAGAUGCAGACUCAUGCUUGUCUUGGCUUCCAGACUGUCUUGGCUUUAGAAUCCGAAGGGGCAGGGAGGCGGCUGCUCUGUCAUAGUUUCAGUCAUGAAGUGGGGAAUGACUAGAAGGUGGAGGAAGGUAUGGUGGCCCUGCAGAUGUCAUCUUAACACUUGCAGGGCUGAUGGUUGAAACGUUUGAGUACUGCUAGGGCUACAGAGAUCUGGACUGUGUCGUGAGAUCAUGAUCAGGUUAGGUCAAGCUUUACAGUGAUGCCUGACAUGCCCGCUGUCCAUGAACCAUGUCUCCCCUCUGUCUUAGCUACAGUUAAUGGGCAGAGAGAGACAAGGGUGAGAGAGCAGACCUUCUGUGUCUUUUUGAGCCCAGAAUUGUGGCUAGCUUUUGCCAAGGGAAGAAAUAGGUUUCCCUAGAAGACUACUGUUGUUCAAUGUGUUUUCCCCAUUCCAGUUCUUCAACCUAAAAGCAGCCUACUGAGUGUAGGUUGUUGUAAUUAUUCCCUGAGGGCAAGCCUCCCUCCCCAUUCACACUUGAAGGAACAAGUCAGGUUAUGUGGCUAAGUAAGCCUGUCACACUUGAAGGAACAAGUCAGGUUAUGUGGCUAAGUAAGCCUGUCACACUUGAAGGAACAAGUCAGGUUAUGUGGCUAAGUAAGCCUGGUUUUUUGGGUUUUGGUUUUAUGUGUGUGUGUGUUCAGCUCAUUUUGCUAUCUGACAGCAGUGGCUGCUGAAUAUGCGUAGAAAUUAUCAAGCUGUGGCUAGUGCAUGACUCUGGUUAUUACUGAUCCAGGUCCUAAAGGUCAGAGGGCACUGGCUGCCUCAGGGAGUUGUCAUUAGUGGGGCACUGGUGCCUAGCCUCUCACUAAUUUUAUUUUUUAAGACUUGCUCAUCUUUUUAAAUAAAUAUAUUUUUAAAAUUGUG
rnacentral:lncRNA from 1 species